rnacentral:rRNA from 1 species
UACAGAGGGUGCGAGCGUUAAUCGGAAUUACUGGGCGUAAAGCGCACGUAGGCGGCUUUGUAAGUCAGAGGUGAAAUCCCGGAGCUCAACUCCGGAACUGCCUUUGAGACUGCAUCGCUUGAAUCCAGGAGAGGUGAAUGGAAUUCCGAGUGUAGAGGUGAAAUUCGUAGAUAUUCGGAAGAACACCAGUGGCGAAGGCGGCUCACUGGACUGGAUAUUGACGCUGAGGUGCGAAGCGUGGGGAGCAAAACAGGAUUGAGAU